GACGAACGCUGGCGGUGUGCUUAACACAUGCAAGUCGAACGGUAAGGCCCUUUCGGGGGUACACGAGUGGCGAACGGGUGAGUAACACGUGAGUAACCUGCCCUCAUCUCUGGGAUAACAGUCGGAAACGGUUGCUAAUACUGGAUAUGAGCUUGCAAGGCAUCUUGUGGGUUGGAAAGAUUUUUUUGGUUGGGGAUGGACUCGCGGCCUAUCAGCUUGUUGGUGAGGUAGUGGCUCACCAAGGCUUCGGCGGGUAGCCGGCCUGAGAGGGCGACCGGCCACAUUGGGACUGAGAUACGGCCCAAACUCCUACGGGAGGCAGCAGUGGGGAAUAUUGCACAAUGGACGGAAGUCUGAUGCAGCAACGCCGCGUGCGGGAGGACGGCCUUCGGGUUGUAAACCGCUUUCAAUUGUGACGAAGCUUUUUGUGACGGUAGCAGUAGAAGAAGCACCGGCUAACUACGUG
rnacentral:rRNA from 1 species